UUGGAGGGCAAGUCUGGUGCCAGCAGCCGCGGUAAUUCCAGCUCCAAUAGCGUAUAUUAAAGUUGUUGCAGUUAAAAAGCUCGUAGUUGAAUUUCGGGAUCAAUAUUUCGGUCAUGCCGUUGGUAUGCACUGUUAUCAUUGAUUUCUCACCUUCUAAAGAACCGUAAUGCCAUUAAUUUGGUGUUACGGGGAAUUAGGACUGUUACCUUGAAAAAAUUAGAGUGUUUAAAGCA
rnacentral:rRNA from 1 species